rnacentral:rRNA from 1 species
AGCAGCCGCGGUAAUUCCAGCUCCAAUAGCGUAUAUUAAAGUUGUUGCAGUUAAAAAGCUCGUAGUUGAAUUUCGGGAUCAGCGCGUCGGUCGUGCCUCCGGUAUGCACUGGCGCCGCUGGUUUCUCCCUUCUGAGGAACCGUGAUGUCAUUAAUUUGGUGUCGCGGGAAAUCAGGACUGUUACUUUGAAAAAAUUAGAGUGUUUAAAGCGGGCACGCGCUUGAAUACAUUAGCAUGGAAUAACGAAAUAGGACGUUCGAUCUUAUUUUGUUGGUUUCUAGGAUUGACGUAAUGAUUAAUAGGGAUAGUUGGGGGCAUUAGUAUUCAAUUGUCAGAGGUGAAAUUCUUGGAUUUAU